CCAGUGUCGAGCUUGCAGAAGCUGUGAACCUUGCAAUGAAAGGUACAGACGUCUUGACCCUGGUGGUAGGAUCUGCUAUCAGCCACUGCCCCAGUAUCCCUUGGCCCACCUGCCACGGCUACCUACAUAAGAGGACUCACUCCAGGAUCGUGAAGGGUUGGAGAAAGAGGUGGUUUGUGCCGAAGUAUGAUGGAUGCCUCUACUAUUACAAACAUAAAAAGGAUGAAGGAAAAUGGCCACCUCUAGAAGUAAUA
rnacentral:sRNA from 1 species